UACGGGGGGGGGCAAGCGUUGUUCGGAAUUACUGGGCGUAAAGGGCUCGUAGGCGGCCAACUAAGUCAGACGUGAAAUCCCUCGGCUUAACCGGGGAACUGCGUCUGAUACUGGAUGGCUUGAGAUUGGGAGAGGGAUGCGGAAUUCCAGGUGUAGCGGUGAAAUGCGUAGAUAUCUGGAGGAACACCGGUGGCGAAGGCGGCAUCCUGGACCAACACUGACGCUGAGGAGCGAAAGCCAGGGGAGCAAAGCGGG
rnacentral:rRNA from 1 species